UACGAAGGGGGCGAGCGUUGUUCGGAAUUACUGGGCGUAAAGGGCGCGUAGGCGGCCGAUCAAGUUAGAUGUGAAAGUCCUGGGCUUAACCUGGGGACUGCAUUUGAUACUGAUUGGCUUGAAUUCGGGAGAGGAUAGCGGAAUUCCCAGUGUAGAGGUGAAAUUCGUAGAUAUUGGGAAGAACACCGGUGGCGAAGGCGGCUAUCUGGACCGACAUUGACGCUGAGGAGCGAAAGCCAGGGGAGCAAACGGG
rnacentral:rRNA from 1 species